rnacentral:rRNA from 1 species
CGUACACUCCUGCGGGAGGCAGCAGUAGGGAAUCUUCCACAAUGGGUGCAAACCUGAUGGAGCAAUGCCGCGUGAGUGAAGAAGGUCUUCGGAUCGUAAAGCUCUGUUGUUAGAGAAGAACACGUGCUAGGUAACUACUAGCGCCUUGACGGUAUCUAACCAGAAAGUCACGGCUAACUACGUGCCAGCAGCCGCGGUAAUACGUAGGUGACAAGCGUUGUCCGGAUUUAUUGGGCGUAAAGGGAGCGCAGGCGGUCUGUUUAGUCUAAUGUGAAAGCCCACGGCUUAACCGUGGAACGGCAUUGGAAACUGACAGACUUGGAUGUAGAAGAGGAAAAUGGAAUUCCAAGUGUAGCGGUGGAAUGCGUAGAUAUGUGGAGGAACACCAGUGGCGAAGGCGAUUUUCUGGUCUAACAUUGACGCUGAGGCUCGAAAGCGUGGGGAGCGAACAGGAUUAGAAACCCUUGUAGUCCCA